rnacentral:rRNA from 1 species
AUAGCGUAUAUUAAAGUUGCUGCGGUUAAAAAGCUCGUAGUUGGAUCUGGGCUUCUGAAUGGAUGGUUCACUUUACGGUGUAACUGUUCGUUUGGUGCCACAAGCCGGCCAUGUCUUGCAUGCCCUUUACUGGGUGUGCAUGGCGACCGGAACGUUUACUUUGAAAAAAUUAGAGUGCUCAAAGCAGGCGUAUGGCCUUGCAUAAUGGUGCAUGGAAUAAUGGAAUAGGACCUCGGUUCUAUUUUGUUGGUUUUCGGAACUCGAGGUAAUGAUUAAGAGGAACAGACGGGGGCAUUCGUAUUGCGGCGUUAGAGGUGAAAUUCUUGGAUCGUCGCAAGACGAACUACUG